rnacentral:lncRNA from 1 species
GACUGUAGGUAUUAACACUGCUCUUAAUGUUUGUGCAGAAAGUGAAGAAAUUAGUUAAAUCCGAUUUCUUCAGGCUCUUCAACCAUAAGAACCAGACUGCUCAAGAGUUAUUUGCUGAUAACUAUUCUAAACUUCAUGAGGAUUCCAAAAAAUGGCUAGAGGAAACCUCUAAAAAUUGCACUAUUGUGGCUGUUCUUAUCGCCACUGUCGCCUUUGCUGCAGCCUACACUGUACCUGGAGGUAAUCAACAAAGCAGUGGUAUUCCAGUCCUUCUCUCCAAUCCCUUCUUCGUGGUUUUCACCUUGGCUGAUGUAAUCUCCCUUACUUUCGCUUUGACAUCGGUAGUUUCGUUUCUCUCAAUCAUCACAUCACCAUUUCGAUUACAAGACUUCAAGUACUCUCUUCCUCAGAAACUGAUGCUGGCUUUUACAUUUUUAAUCCUUUCUGUAACAAUGAUGAUGGUAGCAUUUGCUGCAACCAUCAUCCUCAUGAUCCAUGAUAAGGAAAGUUGGUCAAAAAUUGCUCUAUACUCGGUUGCAUUCCUUCCAGUCCUCGUUUUUGCUCUCUCAUAUUCAAAUCUCUAUGCACAUCUGGUGAAAGCUUGUUCGCACCUGUUGCAAAUUAUACAGGAAAUUUGUCCUAGGUGUAAGGGUAAUCGUCCGCAUCGUAAUGAAUCCCGAUGCAUGAGUUCCUCCAACCAUCCUGAUGAAUCUCACAGAUCCAGUUUCAGGCGCCCUUCUACACCUCAAAUUACUGAAGUUUGAAAGGUGGAAAAACCUCAUAGGAACUCCUUAUGGGCGAAAGAGACAUCAAUCAAAGGAGUGAAUUCAUUUGUUUUCCAACUACUGCUAAGAACUGCUAUAUCUAUGUAUGUUUAAUUUACCUUGUUCUGAGAGUGAAUUAUGUGUUGUCAAUGCUGUAUGGUUUUAAAUUUUCAUGAAAUUAGUAAGAGAUGACUUAAGAAUAAAAUUAUUCCAUGUUUCUGCUUUCAUUUGAGACACACUAUUUACUUGAUAAUUAAAGCCUGAUGAUGAUAGCAGUUUUGAUGCAAGUGAGAGAAACAGAAGAUGUCACCAUUGAAAUCCUGAUGGAUGGCUUCCAUUGUUUGUUCAGGAGAUGAGGAAGAACCUUCAUAGAUAUGGUGUCUUAUUGAUGAGAAUGCUUAAUUUUCAACCAGCUUUAAUAGAACUUCAUUUUACCAGGAAAAAAGAGAGAAAAUCACCUUGUUAAAAGGACACUACCCUCUCACCUCAGGUUCAAAUUUCUUCAGUUCAGGCGAUUUCUCAAUCAGCUCCCGCCUCACACGCUUCCAUCCGCCUCAGGUUCUCAUUUCCAUGGUGAUAGGGCCCAACAGCCAAAACAAUAGGUCGAAAGGAGUUCUCGUUGCCGCCAAUAAUGCCUAUCGGAACCCUACGUAUCACAGCAGCAGUUCCUCUUUCCGGCGAUCGUUCAGCUCUGAAAUCCAUCGGCUGCUCCGCCAUUGCCUUCAAAAC